ensembl:lncRNA LINC01139 long intergenic non-protein coding RNA 1139
GCAGCGGGGAGGAGCCUGGCCUCUCUUCUUUCUGUGUGGAACCUGGAAUUCAAGCUGUGGGUGAGAAGCUCUCUAGCAGGGACUCUGACCUUAUGGAGGAUCGCUGUUUCCCCCAUUUUUCCUUUUCACCCAAAAAAGUCCUGCUUCUCUCACCCUUCAAACAGCCUGUGAGCCUAAAUUUUUGUGGCCAUGGGACAGACAAGGACCCCGUCUUCAGCUGAACUAAGGAAAAGUCCUGCGACAUCUUUGGUACGCACUGUGGAGGCUCUACAAACAGCCAUCAAACUCCAACCAGUCACCCAACCAGAGCCUCUGAGGAUGGCCCCUUCUGCGGGGAACCCUUACAUGGGCCUCUGACUGAUGCUUCCCCAAAACAGUGCCCCCUGUCAUCAGGAAGCAGUUAACACUGGUCUUCAUUCUUACGCUUAUCCUUAUUCUAACAGCAGUUAUAUGUACUUCUUUAGACGGGGGAAUAAGACAGCCAGGUGGGAGGGGGUCUCUGGAAAACUCCAUCUGGCCUGUGCACUAGGGUGGAACCUCAGGAAGUUGAUGACAUUUGUAGCUGGGAGCAGCCUGGCCCCUCCUCUUCCUGUGUGGAACCUGAAAUUCCACCGGCUUGGCAGGAAGCGCUCUAGCAGGGACUCCGGCUUUGCAGAGCAUCCCUGUUUCCCCGUUUUUCCCUUUUCACCCAAUAAAACCCUGCUUCACUCACCCUUCAAACCAUCUGCAAGCCUAAAUUUUUGUGGCUGUGGGACGGACAAAGAUGCCUUUAGCUGACUGAGGAAAAGUCCUGCAACACAGGUAUCACUGCACAUUUAUAAUAUUGUUUCUCUGUUUUAAACCUUGUAUAAAUAGGAAAAUAUUGUAUAUAAUCUCAAGCAGAUUGUUUUCUUUUGAAAAGUAUUCAUAUAUGUUAAAGAUGUAGUUCUAGUUCAUUCAUUUUCUCUGUUUUGACUCUUUUAUACAUAUACUACAGCUCAUUUAUCCAUUUUCCUACUGUUGCAACAUAGAUUGCUUAUAAUUCUUCUAAUUACUAACAAUGCUGGUAUGAAAUUGUUGUGUAUAUCUCUGGUAGAUAUGUGUUAUUUCUUUUUUGCAAUGCUAGAUUAUAAUUAUUUGUCUAAGGUGGAGAUUACCAGGGUAGACUCGCUCUGGCCGUAUGUAAUGAUGUCUGUGGCUACAUAACCUGCCAACACUUAGUCUUAUCACACAUUUUAUUUUAAAAUCAAUAUGUAAAAAAUACUAAUUUACUUGGUAGUAAUUUAAAUUUUUCUGAUUAUUACUGAGGUUGAAUAUGUUUUCAUAUGUUUACUGAAUAUUCCUGUUAAUUUUCUCAUGAAUUUCAGUUAAUGUUUCUGUUGAUUUUAUUAAUUUGUAGUGGUUUUGAAACAUAUUCUAGAAACCAAUAUUUUGUCUGUUGUAUGUGUUACAAAUAUAUUUAUUUUGUAUAGCUUCUUCAUAUUUAGUACUUUUACAAUUUUAACAGUAAAAUUAGUUUCAUGUUUUAUAGCUAUAAUUAUUAUAACUUUUAAAUAAAUAUUUCCUCAAUUAAAAUAAAAAUGCAUUAUCCUUAAUUUUCUUCGAA